UUGUGGUUAAAAAGCUCGUAGUUGGAUUUCGGCGGGCAUUGGUUGGUUUGAAUUGUUUCAACACUGACUAUUUUGCCCGUGUGUUUUGCCAGAAUUUAACGGGUGCUCUUCGCCGAGUGUCUGUUAGAGCUGGCAGGUUUACUUUGAAAAAAUUAGAGUGCUCAAAGCAAGCUUAAUCGCUUGAAUAUUCGUGCAAGGAAUAAUAGAAUAGGAAGUCGUCUCUAUUUUGUUGGUUUUCGGAAAUCGACUUAAUGAUUAAUAGGGACAGUCGGGGGCAUUUGUAUUCAAACGACAGAGGUGAAAUUCUUGGACCGUUUGAAGACAAACUACUGCGAAAGCAUUUGCCAAGAAUGUUUUCAUUAAUCAAGAACGAAAGUUAGAGGUUCGAAAGGCGAUUAGAUACCGCCCUAGUUCUAACCAUAAACGAUGCCAGCUAGCGAUCUGUCGGCGUUUUAUUUUGACUUGACAGGGAGCUUCCGGGAAAC
rnacentral:rRNA from 1 species